UACGUAGGGGGCUAGCGUUGUCCGGAAUCAUUGGGCGUAAAGAGCGUGUAGGCGGCCCGGUAAGUCCGCUGUGAAAGCCGGGGGCUCAACCCUCGAAUGCCGGUGGAUACUGUCGGGCUAGAGUGCGGAAGAGGCGAGUGGAAUUCCUGGUGUAGCGGUGAAAUGCGCAGAUAUCAGGAGGAACACCGAUUGCGAAGGCAGCUCGCUGGGACGUCACUGACGCUGAGACGCAAAAGCGUGGGGAGCAAACAGG
rnacentral:rRNA from 1 species